AUUUAUUUAUUUAUUUACUUAUUUGUGUUGCCCUACUUAUAGCGACGCAUAAACCAGGGAACAUGAUAGUCUGUACUCUGUAGCAUGAUUUGCAUUUGAUGUAUUACAUGCCACAUGAAAGUUUUAUUUUUGAGUGGAUAUUUUCUUUACUGAUGUACAUAUGAGAGAUUUGGUCCAACAAGUGACUUAACUGCAUCAAAAUCCAUCAUUAUGUCUUCACCCUGCUUCUCUUGAUUGCCCAAUUGAGACUGGUAGUUUGUUGAAAUGAGGAAAAUAGUGAUCUUUAAUCAUACCUUUGUUCUUUUACACUCAAAUGCCAUACUUACUGACAUUUCUGUGAAAAUAUACAUAUCAAAAUUCUUCAAGACUUUUCUGGAAGAGCAACUUGCUUUCAGAACUAAUGUGCUUUCCUUUAUGAAAUCGUAUCCCUUGGACUGAUAUAUGACAUCUCUUCACCCCUUUUGCUAAUUGUUAAAGGGUCCACCGCUUGCUGAAAGGUAUGAAAUGGGAGCAAUAUGCUUGCAAGAGCAUUCUGAUAGGCUUCAAAACCUUGUAAAUGAUGCCAUAGAUAAAGGAGCAGAAAUUGUUGCUCGAGGGAGUAUUGGCCAUUUAUCUGAAGGUGCAGUCGAUCAGUAUUUCCCUCCCACUAUCCUUAUAAACGUAAACCACGAAAUGAAAUUGAUGCAGGAAGAGGUAGGAUUCCCUCUUUCACCCACCCUCAGACAACACAAAACACCCUUUACAAGCCCCAUUUGGUGUGAUGUCACAUGUAUAGAUUCUAGGAAAUUAUAAAGACAUGAGUAUUCAUUGGCCAAUGGUUUUGAUUUUUUCUUUGAUUCCAAUUAUUGAGAUUGUAUUUGCAAUUUCAUAUGAUUUGAAAUAGAAUGUAAAACAUUGUCCAUUGUCUAUUGGUUAAAAGGGAAAUCACCUCUUUUUGCAAUUAAUUGCAUGUAGAAUUGCCUGCUAAAUCUCAUUGAAAAGAACUGGUGUAUCAUGCAGGCUUUUGGACCCAUCAUGCCAAUAAUGAAAUUUAGCAAAGAUGAAGAAGCUAUCAGGCUUGCAAAUGACUCUAGAUAUGGGCUUGGCUGUGCUGUUUUUUCUGGUAGCCAGCGCCGUGCCAAAGAGAUUGCUUCCCAGAUACAUUGUGGCGUUGCUGCAAUUAAUGACUUUGCUUCAACUUACAUGUGUCAAGUAACCUUUUAUUUUUACAUUGCUAUUUCAAAUGAUACUUUUUGUUUUGAAUAUAUUUGGAUUGCUUAGGUUGUAGCUUGACUAAAUUUGGCAUUAUCAUUGAGAGGAUUAUUUUCCUAACUGAUUUAAAAAAAGGUACAUAAUAGUUUGCUGACUGAGUGCUCGUCAAAUAGGGAUUUUCCCCCCUUAAUCUGUUGAGACAAAUACAUUAUAUACAGGGAAGAGAACUCUUUGUUUUCUGAUUAAGCAGUCAAUACCUUUGCAUACAGUUCUAGCAUAAUCUUGGGUUAUCUUUCCUCUUCCUUUCUAAUUGAUGAAUAUUGAUCUGUCAGUCCUUGCCAUUUGGUGGUGUAAAAGACAGUGGAUUUGGACGAUUCGCUGGUGUUGAAGGAUUGCGGGCUUGUUGUCUUGUAAAAUCAGUUGUUGAGGAUAGAUGGUGGCCUUAUAUCAAAACCAAGAUACCAAAACCUAUUCAGUAUCCUGUUUCGGAGAACGGCUUCGAGUUUCAGGUGUCACUUGUAGAAGCACUGUAUGGCUUGAACAUAUGGGACAGGUUGCGAGCUUUGGUCAAUGUUUUGAAGAUACUUUCAGAGCAAAAUGCCAGCAGCAGUAAGAGAAAUGAUUAAUGUUGAUGAGUUCAACUGAUACCCAAGGAUCUUUGUUGCCGACUUCCCAUUGCCGAUGCUAUUAACUGCUAUAUUUUAGCUUCUUUUAGUAUUCCUUUUUGUUUGUUUCAAAAUCGGGGCAUUUCCCUCCCGAAGAUACUAACAUACACGUACCUAAGAUGGUCAAAAUUGAAUUCGAUUCCUUAUUAAGAAUUUUAUGAACGAUGCAAUAGAAAAAUUCUGAUUCUGGCUUUUA
rnacentral:misc_RNA from 1 species